rnacentral:rRNA from 1 species
AACGAACGCUGGCGGCAUGCCUAACACAUGCAAGUCGAACGAGGCCCUUCGGGGUUUAGUGGCGCACGGGUGCGUAACGCGUGGGAAUUUGCCCUUUGGUUUGGAAUAACAGCUGGAAACGGCUGCUAAUACCGGAUGAUGACGAAAGUCCAAAGAUUUAUCGCCAGAGGAUGAGCCCGCGUUGGAUUAGGUAGUUGGUGGGGUAAAGGCCUACCAAGCCGACGAUCCAUAGCUGGUUUGAGAGGAUGAUCAGCCACACUGGGACUGAGACACGGCCCAGACUCCUACGGGAGGCAGCAGUGGGGAAUAUUGGACAAUGGGCGCAAGCCUGAUCCAGCAAUGCCGCGUGAGUGAUGAAGGCCCUAGGGUUGUAAAGCUUUUUUACCCGGGAAGAUAAUGACUGUAAAGGGAGAAUAAGCCCCGGCUAACUCCGUGCCAGCAGCC